GCCUAUGGCCAUACCACCCUGAAAGCGUCUGAUCUCGGAAGCUAAGCAGGGACGGGCCUGGUUAGUACCUGGAUGGGAGACCGCCUGGGAAUACCAGGUGUUGUGGGCU
rnacentral:rRNA from 1 species